GGCUGAAAUCGGGGUCAGUCCCCACAUAUCAGUGUAAACUAGUUCCAGUGGGGUUGCACUGUGGGCUGAACUGCUGGCAAACUGCACUCUCCUCUGCUUUCUCAUCUGGCAUGGCUCAUAUACCUCUGAGAUACCUCCAUCCAGAUCUAGAAUCAGACCAUGCUUGCUCAGCUCCUUCAUCUCACGAUCUCCCAUGUGACUU
rnacentral:lncRNA from 1 species